rnacentral:rRNA from 1 species
GUUAGGAAUAUUGGACAAUGGGCGCAAGCCUGAUCCAGCCAUGCCGCGUGAGUGAUGAAGGCCUUCGGGUUGUAAAGCUCUUUAGCCGAUGAUUAUAAUGACUGUAGUCGGAAAAUAAGCCCCGGCUAACUUCGUGCCAGCAGCCGCGGUAAUACGAAGGGGGCGAGCGUUAUUCUGAAUCACUGGGCGUAAAGCGUGCGUAGGCGGCUUUGCAAGUAGGGAGUGAAAGCCCAGGGCUCAACCCUGGAAUUGCUCUCAAAACUGCAAGGCUCGAAUUCGGGAGAGGAUAGCGGAAUUGUCAGUGUAGCAGUGAAAUGCGUAGAUAUUGACAGGAACACCAGUGGCGUAAGCGGCUAUCUGGACCGAUAUUGACGCUGAGGCACGAAAGCGUGGGGAUCAAACAGGAUUAGAAACCCCAGUAGUCC